UAGAGCCAGAUAACUGAACAAAAGUUUGAUAGAGUUCAGUUAUCUACUCUAUCAAACUUUUGUUCAGUUAUCUGGUCUAUCAAACUUUUGUUCAGUUAUCUGCUCU
rnacentral:pre_miRNA from 1 species